UGGGGAAUAUUGCACAAUGGAGGGAACUCUGAUGCAGCGACGCCGCGUGAACGAAGAAGGCUUUCGAGUCGUAAAGUUCUUCUAUAUGGGAAGAUAAUGACGGUACCAUAAGAAAAAGCCCCGGCUAACUACGUGCCAGCAGCCGCGGUAAUACGUAGGGGGCUAGCGUUGUCCGGAAUCACUGGGCGUAAAGGGUUCGCAGGCGGAAAUGCAAGUCAGGUGUAAAAGGCAGUAGCUUAACUACUGUAAGCAUUUGAAACUGCAUAUCUUGAGAAGAGUAGAGGUAAGUGGAAUUUUUAGUGUAGCGGUGAAAUGCGUAGAUAUUAAAAAGAAUACCGGUGGCGAAGGCGGCUUACUGGGCUCAUUCUGACGCUGAGAAACGAAAGCGUGGGUAGCAAACAGG
rnacentral:rRNA from 1 species